rnacentral:rRNA from 1 species
CCUACGGGAGGCUGCAGUCGAGAAUUAUUCACAAUGGGGGAAACCCUGAUGGUGCGACGCCGCGUGGGGGAAUGAAGGUCUUCGGAUUGUAAACCCCUGUCAUGUGGGAGCAAAUUAAAAAGAUAGUACCACAAGAGGAAGAGACGGCUAACUCUGUGCCAGCAGCCGCGGUAAUACAGAGGUCUAAAGCGUUGUUCGGAAUCACUGGGCGUAAGGCGUGCGUAGGCUGUUUCGUAAGUCGUGUGUGAAAGGCGCGGGCUCAACCCGCGGACGGCACAUGAUACUGCGAGACUAGAGUAAUGGAGGGGGAACCGGAAUUCUCGGUGUAGCAGUGAAAUGCGUAGAUAGCGAGAGGAACACUCGUGGCGAAGGCGGGUUCCUGGACAUUAACUGACGCUGAGGCACGAAGGCCAGGGGAGCGAAAGGGAUUAGAUACCCGGGUAGUC